GUGUUUCAGAAGUGACAACAGCUUUACAAAUGGACCUUUUUCGGGAUCCCGUUGGCUAUAUCUUUGUAUGAAAUUAACAAAAGUAACCGCCGAUUUAUAUUACUUUUACCUUUUGUCAGAUAUUUUCGACGACGUAAAUCCGCACGAGAGAGUGUUCGCGUCAGCAGAUGGAAACCCACCAAAUGAUAAUGAUCCAGUGUGUAGUACAUUCUGUCAAUAUACUGACUCACCGAACAUUCGCACAUUAAGAAGACAAGGCACCAAUGACGCUUUGCCAAAUGAUGCUUUCUUGUGUGAACCCUGUGAUGGUUCAUGUG